rnacentral:rRNA from 1 species
UACGGGUGGUGCUAGUGUUACUCCUCAUGACUGGGCGUUAAGGGUGCGUAGGCUGUGUAUUAAGUUUUUGUCAAAUGGCAAUAUUUAUUGUCCAUAAAACGUACUGAUACACUUGGAUUUUAGUAGAGUUUGUAUGGAACUUCAAAAGCUAGGGUUGAAAUCUGCUGGAGAUUUGAGGGAACGUUUCGCUGGUCAAAACAUUUAUUCUUACUAAUAGUCGACGGCUGAGGCACUAAGGCAUGGGUAUCAAACAGG